AACGUAGGACGCAAGCGUUAUCCGGAGUUACUGGGCGUAAAGCGUGCGUAGGCGGUUUGUUAAGUCUGUCGUGAAAGCCCCGGGCUCAACCUGGGAAUGGCGAUGGAUACUGGCGAGCUAGAGUACGGUAGAGGAGAGUGGAAUUCCCGGUGUAGCAGUGAAAUGCGUAGAGAUCGGGAGGAACAUCAGUUGCGAAGGCGGCUCUCUGGACCAGUACUGACGCUGAGGCACGAAAGCGUGGGGAGCAAACAGG
rnacentral:rRNA from 1 species